UUCACCUGUUUAUCAAAAACAUGUCUUAAUGAAAAUUAAUAUUAAGUCAAAUCUGCCCACUGAAUAUUUUUAAAGGCUGCAAUAUUUAUAAUUGUACAAAGGUAGCAUAAUAAUUUGUUUUUUAAUUAAAAACUAGAAUGAAUGAUUUAAUGAAAUAUAAACUCUAUCCAUUAAUAAAAUUUAAAUUUUUAUUUAAAUAAAAAAAUUUAAAUACAUAUAAAAGACGACAAGACCCUAUAGAAUUUUAUUUAAUUUUAAUUAUUUUUAUUUUUAAUAAAUUAAUUAAUUUUAAAUUUAAUUGGGGUAAUUAAAAAAUUAAAAAAAUUUUUUUAAAAUAAUACAUUAAUUUAUGAACUAUUUAUCUUAAAAUUUAAACUAUUAAAAUUAAUUACCUUAGGGAUAACAGCAUAAUUUUUUUUAGAAGACCUUAUUUAUAAAAAAGAUUAUGACCACGAUGUUGAAUAAGAU
rnacentral:rRNA from 1 species